rnacentral:rRNA from 1 species
AGUGAACGCUGGCGGUAGGCCUAACACAUGCAAGUCGAACGGCAGCACAGUAAGAGCUUGCUCUUACGGGUGGCGAGUGGCGGACGGGUGAGGUAUACAUCGGAAUCUACUUUUUCGUGGGGGAUAACGUAGGGAAACUUACGCUAAUACCGCAUACGACCUACGGGUGAAAGCAGGGGAUCUUCGGACCUUGCGCGAUUGAAUGAGCCGAUGUCGGAUUAGCUAGUUGGCGGGGUAAAGGCGCACCAAGGCGACGAUCCGUAGCUGGUCUGAGAGGAUGAUGAGCCACACUGAGACUGAGCCACGGUCCAGACACUUACGGGAGGCCGCAGCGGCGAAUGGUGGACGAUGGGGGCAAGCCUGAUCCAGCCAUACCGCGUAGAUGAAGAAGGCCUUCGGGUUGGAAAGCGCUUUUGUUGGGAAAAAAAAGCAGCAGGUUAAUACCCCGCUGUUCUGACGGUACCCAAAGAAUAAGCACCGGCUAACUUCGUG